rnacentral:rRNA from 1 species
UGAACGCUGGCGGCAUGCCUUACACAUGCAAGUCGAACGGCAGCACGGGAGCUUGCUCCUGGUGCGAGUGGCGAACGGGUGAGUAAUGCAUCGGAACGUACCCAGUAGUGGGGGAUAACGCACCGAAAGGUGCGCUAAUACCGCAUACGACCUAAGGGUAGGAAAGCGGGGACCGUAAGGCCUCGCGCUAUUGGAGCGGCCGAUGUCUGAUUAGCUAGUUGGCGGGUAAAGGCCCACCAAGGCGACGAUCAGUAGCUGGUCUGAGAGGACGAUCAGCCACACUGGGACUGAGACACGGCCCAGACUCCUACGGGAGGCAGCAGUGGGGAAUUUUGGACAAUGGGGCAACCCGUGAUCCAGCAAUGCCGCGUGU